GCUUGUGGCGCAGCGGUAGCGCAGAGGACUCAUAAUCCUUUGGUCGCAGGUUCGAAUCCUGCCGGGCC
rnacentral:tRNA from 1 species